GCGAAGGUGUAUAGUCACGAAUUUUAUUUUGGUUUACUGCUGUUCCUGGAUGGACAAUGAACGAUAGAAACAACAACGUAUUUGGAAGCCACAAAGACGGUCCGAGUAAUCACUACAGCACCUAGUCACACAAGGACUUGAAGCAAUGAACAUCAAGAUGUGGUCAGUAAAUCUGUAGUUUCGUCCAUGUCAUUAUGCAUGCCCAGUCUUCCAACAUGAUUUGAUCGAAAUGUAGAGGCGGAGACAAUUUUAGGAGGGACCAAUGACUGAAGAAACUAAUUAGAUAGUUCUACGGAUGUGUAAGGAAUGAUGGUUGCAGCGUAGGUGGAUAUAACCUAUCAUUUAUCUAGAUCUACUGACUGAGGAUGUCUAUUAUGGUAGCAGUAUUGUUUUCGUACAGCCUGACCAGAAUAACAAACUCAUUGUCGAAGCUUUGUACAUUUUACUUUGCAGUACAAUACUUUUUAUUGUUAUAAAUUUUGUCUUUUUAGCUGCGGAAUGGAGCUGGAAUAGGGAACAUUGGAACUGUAGUUUGUUGAACAACCAAACUUAUCUUGAAGAGCUGCAGAAAAAGAAUGGAACAUUACCCUGCCAA